UAUCGAUGCUGCAGAAGUGAAACACACACACACAAAAAAAAAAGAAAGACAAAAAAUCACCACCAUUCUGGAGGCGUUUUCUUUUCCGCAACACGUUUUUUUUCUUUUCUCAUCUCUU
rnacentral:ribozyme from 1 species